rnacentral:rRNA from 1 species
UUACCCGCUGAACUUAAGCAUAUCAUUAAGCGGAGGAAAAGAAAUUAACUAGGAUUCCCUUAGUAACGGCGAGUGAACCGGGAUAAGCCCAGCACUGAAUCCCUUUACCGUAUGGUAUUUGGGAACUGUAGUGUGUGAGAGUGUCUUUGGUGCGUGGCGAGUGACUUGAGUCCUCCUGAUCGGGGCUUGUCCCAGAGCGGGUGUAAGGCCUCUACGGUUGCGAGCUGCGUGUCUAGGGCGCUCUCUGGAGUCGGAUUGCUUGAGAAUGCAGUCCUAAGUGGGUGGUAAACUCCAUCUAAGGCUAAAUACCGCUGUGAGUCCGAUAGCAAACAAGUACCGUGAGGGAAAGUUGAAAAGCACUUUGAAGAGAGAGUUGGAUAGUACGUGAAACCGUUUACAGGUAAACGGACGGGACCUUAAGGUCGACCUGGGAGAUUCAGGUCUCUGCCGGUGGUUCGGUGUUGGCUGUCGAUCACGCCUCGUGCGGGACGGCGGUGGGCGCUGUGGCUGCUGGCGGGGGCUGCAUUUUUCCUUGUGUUGAGCGUCACGACCACCUGCUUGGCAGACAGAGGCGCCUGGUCUAAGGUAGCUCGGGCUGGCAACGGCUCGGGAACUUAUAGGGCCGGGAGCGCUGUGCUGUUGGGCGGGUGAGGAACUCGGGUCGCGCUUGCGGGCUUGGUCACCGCUGGACGUGUAUCGACUGUUGGGGACUGCUUGCAGUGCUCGGCGACUGUCACGGUCAGGUCUGGUGUCUUGUCUUGCGGCGUCGAUGGGUCAGUGGCGUCAUUCCAUAGGCACCCCGUCCGACCCGUCUUGAAACACGGACCAAGGAGUCUAACAUGUGCGCAAGUCAAAGGGUCUAUCGAAACCCCAGGGCGAAAUGAAAGUGAACUUAGGUGUGAUCCGGUGGCUCUUGAAGCGCCGGCGCAGCACCGGCCCGUCAUCUGUUCCGUUGCGGCUAUGGCGGAGCAUAGCGAUU